rnacentral:rRNA from 1 species
ACGUACACUCCUGCGGGAGGCAGCAGUGGGGAAUAUUGGACAAUGGGCGCAAGCCUGAUCCAGCCAUGCCGCGUGAGUGAUGAAGGCCCUAGGGUUGUAAAGCUCUUUCACCGGUGAAGAUAAUGACGGUAACCGGAGAAGAAGCCCCGGCUAACUUCGUGCCAGCAGCCGCGGUAAUACGAAGGGGGCUAGCGUUGUCCGGAUUUACUGGGCGUAAAGCGCACGUAGGCGGACUAUUAAGUCAGGGGUGAAAUCCCGGGGCUCAACCCCGGAACUGCCUUUGAUACUGGUAGUCUUGAGUUCGAGAGAGGUGAGUGGAAUUCCGAGUGUAGAGGUGAAAUUCGUAGAUAUUCGGAGGAACACCAGUGGGGAAGGCGGCUCACUGGCUCGAUACUGACGCUGAGGUGCGAAAGCGUGGGGAGCAAACAGGAUUAGAAACCCGAGUAGUCCCA